rnacentral:tmRNA from 1 species
GGGGGCGAGUAGGCUCGACGUGGCGAGUGGGGACAGGAGAUAAGCGGGCCGAGGUCCCACCAGCUCGUUAAACGGUGGAAGGCAAUAAGUGCCAACUACGAACCUGCUUACGCGGCUGCUGCUUAAUUAAGUAACGCCGCGCGUCGCGGCCGCCGCGCCUGCACGGCAGCCGACGGCGUCAUAGCUUGCAGGCUUACCCCUGACCGCCGCCCUCCGGGCAGGGGGACAGCCAAGAGGGCUAGCCUGCCGGGAAUCCUGCCUGUGGGAAGCCCGGCGGGUGAACGGCAAACACAGGCUGCGCCCGGAGAAACUCCUGUCACUGCCGUUGCGGACCCGGCGUGCGACUCGUCGGCGCCUCCACCA